GGAAAAGUCACUGUCGAGUUUCCUGUCACGUCAAACUUAAUGAAUGUCAUUUGGAGGUGAUGUCUCAAGAUCUAUCUGAUUACUUGUUGGGGCGUGUCCAAAGUUGUUCUAGACUUCAGAUGAACCUUAUUGAAAUUUUGAGGUCAUCCUCAAAAUUUUUGUCCCCAGUUAACUGUCUUGGCUUAUCUUUAACCAUUGGUGAGCAAAUCAUGGAAUUUUUGAGAUCUUCUCAAAAAUUUUGUCCCAGUUG
rnacentral:lncRNA from 1 species